GCUUCCAUCCCUGGCGGGCCGGCGGGCGGGUUCCCCAUCCAGGCCGCUGCACCUGUCAGGGCUCAUGAAGGGGGACAAGCGUGAGGAGCAGGGGCUGGGCCCCGAACCUGCGGCGCCCCAGCAGCCCACGGCGGAGGAGGAGGCCCUGAUCGAGUUCCACCGCUCCUACCGAGAGCUCUUCGAGUUCUUCUGCAACAACACCACCAUCCACGGCGCCAUCCGCCUGGUGUGCUCCCAGCACAACCGCAUGAAGACGGCCUUCUGGGCAGUGCUGUGGCUCUGCACCUUUGGCAUGAUGUACUGGCAAUUCGGCCUGCUAUUCGGAGAGUACUUCAGCUACCCCGUCAGCCUCAACAUCAACCUCAACUCAGACAAGCUCGUCUUCCCCGCGGUGACCAUCUGCACCCUCAAUCCCUACAGGUAUCCGGAAAUUAAAGAGGAGCUGGAGGAGCUGGACCGCAUCACAGAGCAGACGCUCUUUGACCUGUACAAAUACAGCUCCUUCACCACUCUCGUGGCCGGCUCCCGCGGCCGUCGCGACCUGCGGAGGACUCUGCCGCACCCCUUGCAGCGCCUGAGGGUCCC
rnacentral:sRNA from 1 species